GAGCAGUGUGUAGGGACGGUACCUUGCUCAGGGUUACCUCAGGGUAGCCGUUCAGUGGAUUCGAACCCCCGACCUUCCGAUCACGGGGCGACCACUCUACCUACUGAGCUAUCCCUGCCCCGUCAGGUAAGAGUUUUUGGCAAGAUUUGAUAGGUUUUAUAAAGGUAUUGCAACACAAAGUAGGUACUUUCGGCUGCUCCUUUAUUUCCCAUAGAGGGUCACCACAGCGGAUGGAUCCAUGUUUGACUUGGCACAGAUUUUACACUUCAUGCCCUUUCUGAUGCAUUUAUCUAGGCUUGGAACUGGAACUACGAGUACACAAGCUAGUGAACCCCCAAGGCUGGUUUUGUGUCUCCAAGAACUGAAACAAGGAUCUUUCACAUGUAAGGCCUUUCUUUUCAUAGAGAAUAAUGAGCUCACUGUACUUGUGAGCCUUCUUCAGGACAUACUCGCUCUCCUCGAUGUGGCAAUGAUUGUUCUCCAGACGAAGAAGGGGGGACACGAGAGCCACGUUUGUCUGGAUGAGGUACCUACUUCACUCAAUCAACACCGGACCCACAGUGCUGCAGCUGUCACGCCUCAAUGACAGUCAAACUAACACCGCUUCGAACUGUGAUCCAGUUUGUCUUAAGUUACUUUAAACCUGCCAAUUAGCUGUAGCUGUAGCCCCUAUGGCUACAUAUCAAGUUGCCAAAUGUUGCUGCCAGUUUCUACUAGUGAGAAAACGGAAGUGAAUCACAUGUGCUCACAGUCAUUGUCAUUGAGAGUAGAGCCAUCCUUUGUCAGUUUUUGGAAA